AGGAGAGGUGGAGAGGGGGCGCGGGGCCUGGAGCCGUCACCUCAAGCUCUGCCCAGCUCUGGACGCUGCAGCCCUCCCUCCAGCCCAGCCCAGGAAGACAGGGUCUCCCCCAGUCUACUGACGUAAGCAACAGGACCGUUGGGUGCCAAUGGACACCUGAGUCCAAUGUGCUCCACUGUAACAACACAGGAACACAACACCCAGCGUCCGACACAGAGAAGCAGGGGCUUGGUACACUCCGUUAUUCCAGGAAAUCUCUCAAUACCUCCAAGGAAGCCUCUGAUGAUCAGAUGAAAGUAGGACAAAUAAUCUGAAGUCAUGACUAUUCCAAACACUGGUAAGUCACUCUGUUCUUAUAAUGGUUACCCCGAGGAUGAGACUGUCUACAUUUGUGCUAGGAUAAAUUUCUCCAGUAGUUCCAUACUGAAGCACUUAUCACCCUGAUGAGGCAGACAUUAGGGUAAAUACAAAUUAGAAAAAUUAAAACUUCCCUGGUGAAGAAGGAAAGAGAUCAUCUCCUCUCCUUUUUCUUUCAAUAUUUCCUUCAGAAAGACAUUCUCUGUCUUUUCUUAAAAGUGAAACAAACCCCUCUUGCCAGUUUUGUAUCCAAGGAAUGCCUUUCUUGGGGGUUUAGAACCAUCUCCCUGAAAUGUAAAGUCAGGAGGAAGGGGCCCUGGCUCUCUGCUUCUGUAGGAGUUUGGCCAGGUCCUCAGCUCCUGGUUUCAACUGUCUUCUCAUGCAAAAGACCUAGAAAGUUUUCCUUUUCCUUUGGAGAAAGACAGCUAGCAAGUGUGUGUUCCCUUCUAGCCAUACAAAAAGGUAAGAUAUCUACGUAUUUCUGCUGUACCUUUUGUAGAGAGUAAAUGAAGCACCUACAGUCUGACUUGAGGCUUGUCUGAUUAUAAAGUGAUCUCAUUCUUCAUUUUGUGGAAAGGAUUCACCAUUUAUUAUUAGAAAUAUUAGCCUUAUUUUUUCAAUACUAAUAAGUGCCUAUAAGAUAACUUAUGGUUGAUACAUUGUGUCAACUUGAGCAGUUUAGAAGUUUAAUUGAGAGACUCAGCAGGAAGCCAGGGUUCCUUCUUUGUAAAUAUCCUCAUCCUGUGCAAAGGAGGGCAAGGAGAUUUUGUGAGAGCUACUGCCCUAGGCAGGGAGACUGCAAAACAGUAUAAUGAAGGAGAAGAGGCUUAUUCCCCCCGGCCCCCGCCCUUUUUGCUCUGGCUGCUUCCUUGAAGUGUUGCUGCAGUGCCACGCCGCCCGGCCUUGGAACCAGAUGAUUAUGGACUGAAACCUCCACAAACAGUGAGCUAAAAAAUAAACCUUUCCUUCCUUCAUUUUGGGUGUCAGAUGUUUUGUCCCAGGAAUGAGAGAAAAGUAACCAAGACAAUAACUAAUGUCCAUUCAGUGAGUACUCACUAAUCUGUUCCAGGUGUUGUGCCAAGAUAAGGAGGGCUGAGAAAAUUGUCUUUGACAACCUCAGCCAAUGUACAAGGCCAAGGUGUUACGACUGCACCUUCUUCCAAGGACCCAAGACAAUGAUUAUUUCUCAAGACUAAGAGACUUGUGUUUUUUGAUCAUCGUUUCUAAUAAAGCAACCAUAAUGUGGUCUACAGUUUGAGUUUCUUUGCCUUAACCCAAGGCCUAUUUUUUUUCUUGUGUAAAGUAGGAAAAUUGUUCCAAGAAUUUUGAACCACAUGCAUCUAUUAU